CCGUGAUGGAGGCGGCCGGGAUAGCACAUAUCAGUCGGAUAAUUGUGCAAGUUGAUCGCUUCGGCG
rnacentral:misc_RNA from 1 species